GGCAGAGGCACCCCAAGCUAAGGAAGGAGGAACUGGAAGUCAGAGAGGACAUGGUCCACGGUGGCUUCCUUGAGCAACUGCACCAGUCCUCAAACUGUCUGCACCAGACUUUUUGUUACACUCAAAAACCAGAUUCCUUUUGGGUUAUGCUACUGUGGUUUGGUUUUUGUCUCAUCCAAGCUUAGUCCUAACUGGUAUGGAAACCCUCUUGAUGUUCCUAAAAUCGCUUCACAUUGGCACCUUGUGGGCAACAGGCUUGGUUCUUAAAAUAUUGUCAACCUAGGAAUGACUGUGGAGGUACCCCCUUUUUUAAAUUCUCGAUUUGAAUUCGUCUGAAUCUUGAAUCUUUUGCCUUUCAUUUAAAAUAGACAUCCCCUCUUCCCCAAGUGAAUCUCAAAGAAAAGAGAAAAUGCGUUGCCAGUGUUUGAGAGCUAGACCCCUUCCUCCCUCAUUAAAUCCCCAGUUGGGAAUGUAAAAGCACCAUCUGCAUUUCAGUACCUGCUGGGCAGAAGAUGUGCAUUCCGAGCAGAGAAUCCAUUUGCUUUUAUGAGAGAGGUUUUUUUUUUUCUCCUUCCUGUGAAAGUCCUAUUAUAAAAACAAUUAGUCUCCUUGAAGGAUUUUGUUCUGCAAAAGAACUAAUUCUCUGCACAGCUGCUCAUCCUUAGAAACGGCCUAAGUACCAGAGGGAGGGGCUCCUGCCACUUCCACGGAAUCUGCUUCCAAAGCCAACACCAGCUCUCUGCCAAAGCAGAAGCCCUUGGGUCCCCCUACACCUCCAGAGUGGGAAGAGCUGUCAGCCACCAUGUGUUAAUCUGCCCUCCCUGCCAGGCCAUUUGGAGGACCCUCAGGAGCCUGGGGAGGCAGGAGACAACAAGGCUUUUAACCCAUCAGCGCUGCUCUGUGGUCAAGAGGUCACAGUGGCUCAAAUCCAAAGGUGAGAAAGGGCUCAAGGAUCAUGUUGGGAAACAAUUCUUUGGGACCCCCAAUACUUCAUAGUGUGUUCAGCAACAGCAGCUCUUGAAAAAAAAAGGCCCUUUUCAACAUCUUCAGUUUCGUUGAGGUAUGCAGUUUGAUUGAGGAGGUUCAAUUUAGGAAGAUAGACAUGAAACAGAUUAUUCUUCCACUAUGCCAUCAUGCUUUGCCACGUUCAACUUUGUUGCUGGGUACCAGGCUUCCUUAAGAAGACUUCAGUCCCAUUUAAUAGCUUUUCAAUAAUUUUCUGUUAUUUAGAUAGUAAAUAACUGUCUGGGCACACUGGCUCAUUUCUGUAAUCCCAACAAUUUAGGAGGCCAAGGUGGGAGGGCCACUUGAGCCCAAGAAUUCAUGACCAGUCUGGGCAAAAGAGAAAGAUCCUGUGUCUCUACAAAAAAGAAUACUAGAAAUAAAAAGAAUUAGUUGGGUGUGGUGGGAUAUGCCUGUAGUCCAAGCUACUCAGGAGGCUGAGGCAGGAGGAUCACUUGAGGUCAGGAGGUUGAGGCUGUAGGGAGCUGUGAUUGUACAACUGCACUCCAACCUGGGCAAUGCAGUGAGACCCUAUCUCAAAAAAAAAAAAAAAAAACAAAAAAAAA
rnacentral:lncRNA from 1 species